GACAGAGGUGCCAAGCGUUAGGCGGAAUCACUGGGCUUAAAGCGUGUGUAGGCGGACUUGUAAGUACCUUGUGAAAUCCCACGGCUCAACCGUGGAACUGCUUGGUAUACUGCUUGUCUUGAGCCACAUAGGGGCUACCGGAACAAAUGGUGGAGCGGUGAAAUGCGUAGAUAUCAUUUGGAACGCCAAUGGUGAAAACAGGUAGCUGGGAGUGUGCUGACGCUGAGACACGAAAGCCAGGGGAGCGAACGGG
rnacentral:rRNA from 1 species